rnacentral:rRNA from 1 species
AUUGAACGCUGGCGGCAGGCUUUACACAUGCAAGUCGAACGAGUGGCGGACGGGUGAGUAAUGUAUCGGAAACUGCCUAGUAGAGGGGGAUAACUACUCGAAAGGGUAGCUAAUACCGCAUACUAUCGGAUGUGCCGAUAUGGGAUUAGCUAGUAGGUGGGGUAAAGGCUCACCAAGGCGACGAUCCCUAGCUGGUCUGAGAGGAUGACCAGCCACACUGGGACUGAGACACGGUCCAGACUCCUACGGGAGGCAGCAGUGGGGAAUAUUGCACAAUGGGGGAAAGCCUGAUGCAGCCAUGCCGCGUGUAUGAAGAAGGCCUUCGGGUUGUAAAGUACUUUCAGCGGGGAGGCGUUACCCGCAGAAGAAGCACCGGCUAACUCCGUGCCAGCAGCCGCGGUAAUUC